rnacentral:lncRNA from 1 species
GGUCUAGAGUAAAAAUCAAAGAAUUUAAGUUAAUUUCCUUCUGAUUUAAAUUUAUGACUUCAGACAAUCUUUAUUCUACUAUAAUGCCCUUGUAGGAACAUGGAGGCAGAUACGUACUCAUCUUCAUCAGAUGUAGAAGGUGAUGCUGGCUGUAAAUGAAGUUCACUGCCAUCAUUCAAACGAGAUGCAUCAUCAUUUUCUGUCAGCUUGCUUGCUAAGAUCUGUUUAUGGAGGGGGAACAGGUUAUUGUAUUUAGACCACAUCAGGAAGUUCAAGUUUUUCAAGACGUGGAAAAUCUAGAGAGUUAGUAUAACAUUGAGUUAAGAUCUGUUUAUGGAGGGAGCACAGGUAAUUGUAUUUAGACCACAUAAGGAAGUUCAAAUUUUUCAAGACAUGCAAAAUCUAGAGAGUUUGUAUAACAUUGAGUACUAUUACCACUUCAUGCAUGGCUUGAACAGCUCUAAUCUCCUGCCAAUAAUCACUUGGUGAUUGUGACAGUACAGAUAUCUGCUGUUCCUUUCUUCUUUUGUGAGCUUGCAUACGAGAUUUACU